GCUUUCGUGGUGUAAUGGUCAGCACACUGAGCCGGUAUUUCAGAGGUCCUGGUUCGAUCCCCGGCGAAGGCA
rfam:Stegodyphus mimosarum contig71274, whole genome shotgun sequence.